GAUGAACGCUGGCGGCGUGCCUAAUACAUGCAAGUCGAACGAGGUCUUCGGACCUAGUGGCGAACGGGUGAGUAACACGUUGGUACCUACCCCGAAGUGGGGAAUAACUGCCCGAAAGGGUGGCUAAUACCGCAUAAUACCGCAAGGUUAAAGCAGUAAUGCGCUUCGGGAGGGGCCUGCGUCCCAUUAGCUAGUUGGUAGGGUAAUGGCCUACCAAGACGACGAUGGGUAGCUGGAUCGAGAGGUUGACCAGCCACACUGGGACUGAGAUACGGCCCAGACUCCUACGGGAGGCAGCAGUAAGGAAUCUCCCACAAUGGACGAAAGUCUGAUGGAGCAGCGCCGCGUGCAGGAUGACGGCCUUCGGGUUGUAAACUGCUUUUAUACGGGAAGAUUAUGACGGUACCGUAUGAAUAAGGACCGGCUAACUACGUGCCAGCCGCCGCAGUAA
rnacentral:rRNA from 1 species